GAUGAACGCUGGCGGCGUGCCUAAUACAUGCAAGUCGAACGAAACUUCUUUAUCACCGAGUGCUUGCACUCACCGAUAAAGAGUUGAGUGGCGAACGGGUGAGUAACACGUGGGCAACCUGCCCAAAAGAGGGGGAUAACACUUGGAAACAGGUGCUAAUACCGCAUAACCAUAGUUACCGCAUGGUAACUAUGUAAAAGGUGGCUAUACUACCGCUUUUGGAUGGGCCCGCGGCGCAUUAGCUAGUUGGUAGGGUAAAGGCUUACCAAGGCAAUGAUGCGUAGCCGAAUUGAGAGGGUGAUCGGCCACAGUGGGACUGAGACACGGCCCAGACUCCUACGGGAGGCAGCAGUAGGGAAUCUUCCACGAUGGGCGAAAGCCUGAUGGAGCGACGCCGCGUGGGUGAAGAAGGUCUUCGGAUCGUAAAACCCUGUUGUUAGAGAAGAAAGUGCGUGAGAGUAACUGUUCACGUUUCGACGGUAUCUAACCAGAAAGCCACGGCUAACUACGUG
rnacentral:rRNA from 1 species